GGGCGGGAGGUCGUGAGUUGGGGAACGGCGCGGCGGAACUCUAACUUCUCGUCGUCUCAUUCUUGGCGUUCCCUCUGGGAGUUCGGCAAGACUCGCGGGUGCCGCGCCGUCGAACCGGUGGGAUGCGGUCAGAGCUCCCCAAACUGGCGUCGCGGUCCUGGCUUCUCUGCUAUCCUCGUAGCUCAAGGUCUGUGGUCAUCCUCCAUGUUUACCUUGGUCGUCUGCUUGGGUUGGACCUCACGGGGUCUGCCAUGGGCGUCGUAGUGGUUGGAAUCGGACCCAGGACAGUGGGGGCUGGAGCUACCUCGGGCGUGGAUCGCCGUCGUUGGCAUGGCGCCCCGUGCGGUGUCUUGAGGAAGAUGGGAGCGGGCCCUUGAUCCGUGAAUGAACGGUCCUGAUCUGACCAGGCCGGUACCUCUUUCAUCCCUUCAGUCUGGCCAUUGGAUUACUUGUAGACGGCUUAGAUCAGAAGCAGGAUACCGAUCCAGAACAUUACAUCGCGACCGUUGAGAUCAAAUCCGUGGGCUCGGGUGUGAUUUGGCGUGGACGAAUCUGUGCCAUGGAUCUCGGAUCCAACGGCUUCACUCGGUGACCGUAGAUCUAAAGAUGGAGGGACCUGGGUGUGUGCGGGUUCGUCAUUGCACCGGAAUCUAAUCGUGGCCCUUGAUGCGGGAUCGGAUGGCCAGAAUUGAUCUAUACCCCUUCGCGACCGCAGUUUUACAUAAGAGCCCCUCCGUUUCUGCGGAUUAAACCCGCGGUCCACUGCACGGGUAACUGAGUCUUAGGAAAACUUACACCGGGGCCCCUGCUUUCUAUAUAAAUUGAGGCGCAGUCCAGAAAUUAAAUAAAACCAGAAAAAAUAGAUUUAGAAAUUGAUUUUGAGAAUAAAAAUAAUUGUAAAACUUGGGUAAUUCAUAGAAAAUUCAUACUAACUCCUUUUUAGUCCAUUCCAGUUCCUAUAAUUUUGUAAUAUUAUGAUUUAUCAUCUAGUACCACUGUUUUCACAUGAAAGUCCUACUAAAAUUUAUAUCCUAUUUAAUCUUGCAUAAAACACAUAAAACCUUCAGAAAUUCAUAACUCUUCCGUUUUAACUCCGAUUUGAUCCGUUCAAGUUGCGUUAGUCUCGUAGCAACGCGUAGGUCAUUAUUAUGCAGUAUAUUCUUAUGUUUGGUGUGAUGUUAAUUUUAUCUAUACCAUGUUUGUUUGUAUUGCUACGACUAGCGCGAGGACACGUGUCAUCUGAAAAGCAAGUUGGUACCUGGAAUCUCAAGUGCCAGGCAAGUUGUGCCCUUGAUCACAUACUUUUCCCAGCCAUGUUCUUAUUAAUUUUAAUGAUCUGCACAGGUUAAUUUUGAUGGGAGCCUUUAUGUUACCCCAGUUUUGAUUACCUCUAUACCUUGUUCACCCCUGAAAUAUUUUGGGUAGUACUUGCUAUUGCUUUAUGUGGAUUGGGUAUGGAGAUACACUAUUCAUGAUUAUUCUGUUAUUAUCUUGUUAUUAUUGCUGUUCAUGUUAAGAUCAUUAAAUUAAUGGGAACAUGGAGUGACCACCCGGGAAAACAGUGCUACCACAAGGGUUUAAUGGGACGCCCUUGGCUGAUUAACUAGGAAAGCUAGUGGAGGUCUUCCUUACCCGAAAGGGGCAAGGGCAGUAGGGGAGUGGUCAGUGUAGGGAGGUCCUUGGGUUGAUUUUGCUGCGAUGGCGGUCAGACAAGAACCCUGCACUGGAGCUUCCUAUAAACUGUAGCGGGAUUUCUGAAGCUAGUGGAACUUUGUAAAGGCCUCGUAGUGUUACCCUGCCUCGCCUCCUCGGUAGAGGUGUAUGGGAUUGGCCAUCUCUUGGCAGAUGGGUAACAUGACUUGUGGGUAAAGAUGCGCAACCUCUGCAGAGUGUAAAACUAGUAUACUAGCCGUGCUCACGGUCAUGAGCGGCUCGGACCCUCACAUGAUUAAAUAUGGAACUUAAAUUUAAUUUGACAUUUGCAUCGUAUUUGGGAUUAUUUUACUAUUACUGUUCUUUAUUAUUAUUAAGGUUUGGUAUUUACUUACACUUAGUAAUUGCUAAUAAAAUUUUGACCAACUUAUAAAAGCAAUGCUCAGCUUCAGCCUCUAUUUCAUUGAUCAGCCUUACACUCCAUGAACUCCCACCUUUGGUGAGUUCAUGCCACAUUAUUCCCCACAACUUGUUGAGCUAUGAACGUAUGUGAGCUCACUCUUGCUGUCUCACACCCCCCACAGGAGAAGAGCAGGUGGUCGAAGAGGAGCCGCCUAACACUGAGGCAUUCGACUUGAUCUAGGUGGCGUUUCUCAGUUGACAUUGGCGCCGACGAUCCUUAGUUCGUUUUAUAUUUAUUCUUUUACUUUGUAAUAAGUCUUCCGCUAUGUAAUAAGUACUCUGAUGUUUUAUGACAUUUAUCUCUAUACACUCUGUUAUUAUAUAUGUUGUCUUUUUGGCGCAUGUAUGAGAUGCACCCGGCUUUGCCCUUUAAAACCGGGUGUUACAGAAGUGGUAUCAGAGGAAAUGUUGACUGUAGGACGAAACCUAGAUAGAAAUGGACAAAACCCUUACCUACUUAUCUUACUCUGAUUCAUUCUAUACUUUCCUUACUCUUAUUCUUUCUAUACUUAUCUUGAUCCUGUCUCACCUUCCACUGUUCUACUCUGAUCAUUCUUAUCUUUUCUAUUCUAAGACAAGAUGGAUUUCACACCUUGGAAUCCUACACUUAUGAACUUUUAAGAUAUAGGGCACCUAAGACAAAAUUAAAACUAUUUUUUUAUAUUUAAAAAUGUUGGUUGAUUGUGCUGAUGAUCAAUGCCUGAUUUGCUUCUUUGAUUGAUUGAAGUAGUAUAGACGGGCAUCUUAGCAUGUACCACCAUAAGGUAAUGUAUUAGAUUUAGUGGAUAACACACUAAUCUACUUAGCUAAUAAAUCCCCCGCAGUAACAUUUCUCAUAAUCACUCGCCUUGUCUACAAUUCUUCCUUUCGUACCCUGUAUUUCUAACCCCGAUGGGCUACCCCUAUAGUGUUAGAAGAGAGCACUAUAGACGUGAUCCUUGGUAUGUGAUGGUUAAGAAAGGCAAAGACUAUGCUAAGGGAACCGUAGAACUCACCAGUUCCAAAGGACAAAGAUUUGAAGUUGAAGUUGCAGUAACUACCACCAUCAGACUAGCGGCAUUCUUAGUAGAUGAGAAGUUUGUUGGUGACAACAUCCGGGUGGUUAGAGAUUUUCCGGAUGUCUUUCCAGAGGAGUUACCAGGGAUGCCACCUGAUAGAGAAGUUGAGUUUGUUAUUGAUCUCUUACCUGGAACCGCCCCUAUUUCUAAACGGCCAUAUAGAAUGUCCGUAGAGGAGUUGAAGGAACUGAAGAAGCAGUUGACAGAGUUACAAGAGGCUGGUUAUAUUCGUCCGAGUUCCUCACCUUGGGGAGCACCGGUCUUGUUUGUACAGAAGAAGGAUGGAUCGCAGCGGAUGUGUGUGGAUUAUAGAUCCCUUAAUGAUGUUACGGUGAAGAACAAGUAUCCGUUGCCCUGUAUUGAGGAUUUAUUUGAUCAGAUGAGAGGUGCUAGAGUAUUCUCGAAGAUUGAUCUCCGAUCAGGUUACCAUCAGAUGAGGAUUAGACCAUCGGAUAUUCCCAAGACGGAUUUCUCGACCUGAUAUGGUUUAUAUGAGUUCACUGUUAUGUCAUUUGGAUUAACUAAUGCACCAACCUAUUUUAUGGAUCUAAAGAAUAAGGUGUUCAUGAUCGGGACAGAUUCGUCGUGGUUUUCAUCGACGAUACUCUUAUUUAUUCCAAGAGUGAUAGUGAUCAUGAGAAAUAUCUGAGAUUGGUGCUACAGAAGCGACGAGAUAAUCAACUCUACACCAAGUACAGUAAAUGCGAGUUUUGGAUUGGCGAGGUGCCAUAUCUAGACAUAUCAUUUCUAAUGGAGGAAUAUCAGUGGAUCCUGCUAAAGUCAAGGAGAUAAUGGCGUGGAGCGUACCCACUACAAUUACUAAAGUCUGAAGUUUCUUGGGACAUGCAGGAUAUUAUCGGAGAUUUAUUGAAGGAUUUUCUAAGGUUGCUAAGCCUAUGACCUCGCUUCUAGAGAAGGAAAGAGAGUUUAAGUGGGACGAGAAGAGCCAAGAUAGCUUUGAUCAAUUAAAGAAGAGAUUGAUGUCACCACCAGUGUUGGUUAUGCCAGAUCUACAGAAAGGAUUUGACAUUUAUUGUGAUGCAUGUGGCCAAUGCUUAAGAUGUGUGCUCAUGCAAGAAGGACACGUGAUUGCCUACGUGUCUCGUCAAUUGCGGAAGCAAGAUUUGAACUACCCCACUCAUGACUUAGAACUGGCAGCCGUUGUGCAUGCGCUGAAGAUUUGGAGAUAUUAUAUUAUGGGAACCAAGUGUCAAGUAUACACGGAUCAUAAAAGUUUGAAGUAUAUAUUCACUCAGAAGGAUCUCAACCUUAAGCAACGUCAUGGGUUGGAGCUUAUUAAGGAUUGUAAUUUGGAGAUUCACUAUCACCCGGGCAAGGCAAAUUUGGUUGCAGAUGCCUUGAGUCGAAAGGAGCAUGUUCAUUCAGCUGUUGUUGCCCAGCUACCCGAUGAGAUUGUUGAGGAUUUCAGGAGACUUAACCUGGGGAUAGUUGCUCGCACUGAAGGAGUUACUAUUGAUGUGGAACCUACUUUGGAGCAAGAGAUCCGCAAAGGACAAAUUGGUGAUGCUAAAAUAAAAGAGAUCAAGGAUCUGAUUACUGAAGGUCGAGUUCCGGAAUUUACGGAAGAUGAGCAGGGCACUGUAUGGUUCAAGGACAAGAUAUGUGUCCCCGAGAUUGAAAGCCUUCAUGAGACUAUUUUAAAGGAAGCCCAUGACUUGGAUUAUUCUAUUCACCCUGGUAGUACCGAGAUGUAUCAGGAUUCGAAGCAGAAAUACUGGUGGUAUGGAUUGAAAAGAGAUGUGGCUGCACAUGUGACUAUGUGCAAUGUGUGUCAAAGAGUUAAGGUCGAACACCAAAGACUAGUUGGACUAUUGCACCCACUAAAGAUACCCGAGUGAAAGUGGGAAGAGAUUGGUAUGGAUUUCAUUACUGGAUUGCCUCACACCUCGAAAGAAUAGGAUUCUAUAUGGGUUAUUGUGGAUAGACUGACCCAAGUGGCUAAUUUCAUUCCGAUCAAGACUACUUAUAAGUGAUCUCAAUUGACGGAGUAUAUACAUGACUCGGAUUGUGUGUUUACACGGUGUACCGAAGAAGAUCAUUUUGGAUAAAGGAUCACAGUUUACCCCCAGAUUUUGGAUAAGUUUUCAUGAGAAUAUGGAUGCAAAGUUGAAUUUUAGUUUGACCUACCAUCCUCAAACUGAUGGAUAGACUGAAAGAACUAAUCAAGUUUUAGAGGACGUGUUGAGAGCUUGUGCCCUUCAACAUGGUAGUAGUUGGGACAAGAGUCUACCUUAUGCUGAGUUCUCACAUAAUAAUAGUUACUAGGCCAAUCUGAAGAUGUCACUGUUCGAGGCUAUAUAUGGCAGGAAGUGCAGUACUCCUCUAUUUUGGACCAGAUUAGAGGGAAUCAGAUCUUUGGACCUGAACUUAUUCAAGAGGCAGAAGAACAAGUUCGUAUAAUUCGAGAGAAUUUGAGGGUAGCUCAGACCCGGUAAAAGAGCUACGCAGAUAAUAGAAGACCACUGGAGUUUGAGGAAGGUGAUCAAGUGUACCUCAAGGUAUCACCACUUUGUGGAAUGAGGAGAUUCAAAGUCAAGGGCAAAUUGUCCCCUCGCUAUAAUGGACCACUCUGAGUUUUUAGGCAAGUUGGAGAGAUGGCCUAUCAACUCGAGCUACCUGAUAAUCUAUUUGAUGUGCAUAAUGAAUUCCAUGUGUCUCAACUUAAGAAGUGUCUCCGUGUCCCCGAGGAACAGUUAUCAAUGGAAGAGCUAAGUGUUCAAGGUGAUUUGACUUGUACGGAAUACCCUAUUAAGAUUCUUGACACCUUGACCUGAGUUAUAAGAAAUAAGGUGAUAAAGAUGUGCAAAGUAAAAUGGAGUUACCAUGGGGAAGAUGAAGCUACAUGGGAAAGAGAAGAAGAGCUUCGCAUAGAUUUUUCCCAUCUUUUCCCUAAUCCUUCCUAAAUCUCGAGGACGAGAUUAUUUUUAAGGGGGGGUAGGAUUUGUAAUACUCAAUUUGUGUGAGAGAAUAUAAAAGGAGGAGAAAAAUUUUGUUUCCUUUACUUAUAUGUGUGGGAUUGAACCUUUAUGCAUCAUCACAUGUGAACACCCUAUGUAGAAACAAAUAAUCAAUAAGAUAAAAGCUACUGAAUUGUUCAUCAUGCUGAGAUUUUCUUUUGUGUGCAUUUGGUGACAAUAUAAAAAAAGUAGUGUGCCAAGAAAUAUAUUAAAGUCUAAAAAGGGAAUUUAAGAUCUAAAGGAAAUUCAAUGAUCUAGGAAAAGAGAAGAAUGAAACAAUAAUAUGUGAGUGAAAUGAGUAAUAAAAAUAUAUAUAAUAAAAUAUAUCAUUUUUUUACAAUGGGAUUUGAAUAUGUAAAUUUUGCCCAAAGGUGAGACUCCUAAAAGAAUUCAAAAUUCAAUUUUAAAUAAAGAGAAAAGGAGCAGAAAAGAAAAAAAGGAGUGCUCGCUGGGCUGCCAUUUCCCUCCCACUGCUCGGCCCAAUUGACCAAACCCCCUAGGCCGGCCCACUUCUCCCAUCCGGCUCACUAUUUCGCCAAUCCCAUUUCACACGCGCGCGUCAUUGUUCCACUGGCAUGUGGCCCUGGUUUGCCGGUGACCUCAUGUGUGCCCAUGUGACCUCCAUGUGGGGCUCGUCUGUCAGUCGUCUUCCCCAACAGACCCCGGGGCACGGCAAAAUCGGAUCGGCUGGCGUCCAGAGCUCCGCACGGAUCUCGCGGACCGUUGCAACUGCUGAGUCAAUCCACCUUGCGCCUACCGGGGGGGAUCUCGCUGGUCUCCGAAUCCGGUCCCAAAUUAUUGCCAAGAUCCAUGCGCCGCUCGACCAACCCCCUUCCCUGAAUUUCCUCGCUACCGGCUCGGGUUGUUACAGUCGGCCAGAGCUCUGUGCGAAUCCCCUGGUCUCCCUCGCGUCCGUAUAUGUGGGCAACGCCGUUCACUGGUGGUUAUAGGCACGUUCUUCUCUGGGUGGCUAGAUCGACCAGCGACAAUUUCCCUUUUACCGAGCCAGCACAACCGAGGUGGAGAGAGAGCUGUAGGGCGGGAGGUCGUGAGUUGGGGAACGGCGCGGUGGAACUCUAACUUCUCGUCGUCUCAUUCUUGGCGUUCCCUCUGGGAGUUCGGCAAGACUCGCGGGUGCCGCGCCGUCGAACCGGUGGGAUGCGGUCAGAGCUCCCCAAACUGGCGUCGCGGUCCUGGCUUCUCUGCUAUCCUCGUAGCUCAAGGUCCGUGGUCAUCCUCCAUGUUUACCUUGGUCGUCUGCUUGGGUUGGACCUCACGGGGUCUGCCGUGGGCGUCGUAGUGGUUGGAAUCGGGCCCAGGACAGUGGGGGCUGGAGCUACCUCGGGCGUGGAUCGCCGUCGUUGGCAUGGCGCCCCGUGCGGUGUCUUGAGGAAGAUGGGAGCGGGCCCUUGAUCCGUGAA
rnacentral:lncRNA from 1 species